GGGUUGUGAGGUUAAGCGACUAAGCGUACACGGUGGAUGCCCUGGCAGUCAGAGGCGAUGAAGGACGUGCUAAUCUGCGAAAAGCGUCGGUAAGGUGAUAUGAACCGUUAUAACCGGCGAUGUCCGAAUGGGGAAACCCAGUGCAAUUCGUUGCACUAUCGUUAACUGAAUACAUAGGUUAACGAGGCGAACCGGGGGAACUGAAACAUCUAAGUACCCCGAGGAAAAGAAAUCAACCGAGAUUCCCCCAGUAGCGGCGAGCGAACGGGGAGCAGCCCAGAGUCUGAAUCAGCUUGUGUGUUAGUGGAACGGUCUGGAAAGUCCGACGGUACAGGGUGAUAGUCCCGUACACCAAAAUGCACAGGUUGUGAACUCGAAGAGUAGGGCGGGACACGUGGUAUCCUGUCUGAAUAUGGGGGGACCAUCCUCCAAGGCUAAAUACUCCUGACUGACCGAUAGUGAACCAGUACCGUGAGGGAAAGGCGAAAAGAACCCCGGCGAGGGGAGUGAAAAAGAACCUGAAACCGUGUACGUACAAGCAGUGGGAGCACCUUCGGGUGUGACUGCGUACCUUUUGUAUAAUGGGUCAGCGACUUAUAUUCUGUAGCAAGGUUAACCGUAUAGGGGAGCCGCAGGGAAACCGAGUCUUAACUGGGCGUUAAGUUGCAGGGUAUAGACCCGAAACCCGGUGAUCUAGCCAUGGGCAGGUUGAAGGUUGGGUAACACUAACUGGAGGACCGAACCGACUAAUGUUGAAAAAUUAGCGGAUGACUUGUGGCUGGGGGUGAAAGGCCAAUCAAACCGGGAGAUAGCUGGUUCUCCCCGAAAGCUAUUUAGGUAGCGCCUCGUGAAUUCAUCUUCGGGGGUAGAGCACUGUUUCGGCUAGGGGGUCAUCCCGACUUACCAACCCGAUGCAAACUACGAAUACCGAAGAAUGUUAUCACGGGAGACACACGGCGGGUGCUAACGUCCGUCGUGAAGAGGGAAACAACCCAGACCGCCAGCUAAGGUCCCAAAGUCAUGGUUAAGUGGGAAACGAUGUGGGAAGGCACAGACAGCCAGGAUGUUGGCUUAGAAGCAGCCAUCAUUUAAAGAAAGCGUAAUAGCUCACUGGUCGAGUCGGCCUGCGCGGAAGAUGUAACGGGGCUAAACCAUGCACCGAAGCUGCGGCAGCGACACUAUGUGUUGUUGGGUAGGGGAGCGUUCUGUAAGCCUGCGAAGGUGUGCUGUGAGGCAUGCUGGAGGUAUCAGAAGUGCGAAUGCUGACAUAAGUAACGAUAAAGCGGGUGAAAAGCCCGCUCGCCGGAAGACCAAGGGUUCCUGUCCAACGUUAAUCGGGGCAGGGUGAGUCGACCCCUAAGGCGAGGCCGAAAGGCGUAGUCGAUGGGAAACAGGUUAAUAUUCCUGUACUUGGUGUUACUGCGAAGGGGGGACGGAGAAGGCUAUGUUAGCCGGGCGACGGUUGUCCCGGUUUAAGCAUGUAGGCUGGUUGUCCAGGCAAAUCCGGAUAAUCAAGGCUGAGGUGUGAUGACGAGGCACUACGGUGCUGAAGUAACAAAUGCCCUGCUUCCAGGAAAAGCCUCUAAGCAUCAGGUAACAUCAAAUCGUACCCCAAACCGACACAGGUGGUCAGGUAGAGAAUACCAAGGCGCUUGAGAGAACUCGGGUGAAGGAACUAGGCAAAAUGGUGCCGUAACUUCGGGAGAAGGCACGCUGGUGUGUAGGUGAAGUCCCUGCGGAUGGAGCUGAGACCAGUCGAAGAUACCAGCUGGCUGCAACUGUUUAUUAAAAACACAGCACUGUGCAAACACGAAAGUGGACGUAUACGGUGUGACGCCUGCCCGGUGCCGGAAGGUUAAUUGAUGGGGUUAUCCGUAAGGAGAAGCUCUUGAUCGAAGCCCCGGUAAACGGCGGCCGUAACUAUAACGGUCCUAAGGUAGCGAAAUUCCUUGUCGGGUAAGUUCCGACCUGCACGAAUGGCGUAAUGAUGGCCAGGCUGUCUCCACCCGAGACUCAGUGAAAUUGAACUCGCUGUGAAGAUGCAGUGUACCCGCGGCAAGACGGAAAGACCCCGUGAACCUUUACUAUAGCUUGACACUGAACAUUGAGCCUUGAUGUGUAGGAUAGGUGGGAGGCUUUGAAGCGUGGACGCCAGUCUGCGUGGAGCCAACCUUGAAAUACCACCCUUUAAUGUUUGAUGUUCUAACGUUGGCCCCUUACCGGGGUUGCGGACAGUGUCUGGUGGGUAGUUUGACUGGGGCGGUCUCCUCCCAAAGCGUAACGGAGGAGCACGAAGGUUAGCUAAUCCUGGUCGGACAUCAGGAGGUUAGUGCAAUGGCAUAAGCUAGCUUGACUGCGAGCGUGACGGCGCGAGCAGGUGCGAAAGCAGGUCAUAGUGAUCCGGUGGUUCUGAAUGGAAGGGCCAUCGCUCAACGGAUAAAAGGUACUCCGGGGAUAACAGGCUGAUACCGCCCAAGAGUUCAUAUCGACGGCGGUGUUUGGCACCUCGAUGUCGGCUCAUCACAUCCUGGGGCUGAAGUAGGUCCCAAGGGUAUGGCUGUUCGCCAUUUAAAGUGGUACGCGAGCUGGGUUUAGAACGUCGUGAGACAGUUCGGUCCCUAUCUGCCGUGGGCGCUGGAGAAUUGAGGGGGGCUGCUCCUAGUACGAGAGGACCGGAGUGGACGCAUCACUGGUGUUCGGGUUGUCAUGCCAAUGGCACUGCCCGGUAGCUAAAUGCGGAAGAGAUAAGUGCUGAAAGCAUCUAAGCACGAAACUUGCCCCGAGAUGAGUUCUCCCUGAGACUUUAAGUCUCCUGAAGGAACGUUAAAGACGAUGACGUUGAUAGGCCGGGUGUGUAAGCGCAGCGAUGCGUUGAGCUAACCGGUACUAAUGAACCGUGAGGCUUAACCUUACAACGCCGAAG
rnacentral:rRNA from 1 species